GUGUGGACGGGAUAAGUGCUGAAAGCAUCUAAGCAUGAAGCCCCCCUCAAGAUGAGAUUUCCCAACUUCGGUUAUAAGAUCCCUCAAAGAUGAUGAGGUUAAUAGGUUCGAGGUGGAAGCAUGGUGACAUGUGGAGCUGACGAAUACUAAUCGAUCGAAGACUUAAUCAAAA
rnacentral:rRNA from 1 species